CUCCGGAAAAACGCCCCGACUUCCUGCCCCGCCAGAGCCAGGAAGCGGGAGCCGGGACCCAGGGCCCGGGAUUGCCGAGCCCGACCUCGGGCGCCCCGCCGGUCACCUCCGCGCGGACACCAGCCCUGCAGAGCCCAGGGAGAUGGAAGACGUUGCCCGAGGGGCGGCCUCCCCAGGCCCCUCCCGGCCUGGCCUGGUUCCCGUCAGCAUCAUCGGGGCAGAGGAUGAGGAUUUUGAGAACGAGCUGGAGACGAACUCAGAAGAGCAAAACAGCCAGUUCCAGAGCCUGGAGCAGGUGAAGCGGCGCCCAGCCCACCUCAUGGCCCUCCUGCAGCACGUGGCCCUGCAGUUUGAGCCAGGACCCCUGCUUUGCUGUCUGCAUGCCGACAUGCUGGGCUCACUGGGCCCCAAGGAGGCCAAGAAGGCCUUCCUGGACUUCUAUCACAGCUUCCUGGAGAAGACAGCGGUUCUGCGGGUGCCAGUCCCUCCCAAUGUCGCCUUUGAACUUGACCGCACUCGGGCUGACCUCAUCUCUGAGGAUGUCCAGCGGCGGUUCGUGCAGGAGGUGGUGCAAAGCCAGCAGACAGCCGUGGGCCGGCAGCUGGAGGACUUCCGCUCCAAGCGGCUCAUGGGCAUGACGCCCUGGGAGCAGGAGCUGGCCCAGCUGGAGGCUUGGGUUGGGCGAGACCGAGCCAGCUACGAGGCCCGGGAGCGGCACGUGGCGGAGCGACUGCUCAUGCACCUGGAGGAGAUGCAACAUACCAUCUCUACCGAUGAAGAAAAGAGUGCUGCCGUGGUCAACGCCAUUGGCGUGUACAUGCGCCACCUUGGGGUGCGGACCAAGAGUGGGGACAAGAAGUCGGGGAGGAACUUCUUCCGGAAAAAGGUGAUGGGGAACCGGCGGUCGGACGAGCCUGCCAAGACCAAGAAGGGGCUGAGCAGCAUCCUGGAUGCCGCCCGCUGGAACCGGGGAGAGCCCCAGGUUCCAGAUUUUCGACACCUCAAAGCAGAGGUUGAUGCUGAGAAGCCAGGUGCUACAGACCGGAAGGGAGGCCUGGGGAUGCCCUCUCGGGACCGGAAUGUUGGGGCUUCUGGGCAGGACACCCCUGGAGUCUCUCUGCACCCUCUGUCCCUGGACAGCCCAGACCGGGAACCAGGUGCCGACGCCCCCCUGGAGCUGGGGGACUUAUCCCCACAGGGCCCAAUGAGCCUGGAGCCCCCGGCGCCCCCAGAGAGUACCGAUGAGGGGGCCGAAACCGAGAGAAGGUGGAAGAGGCUAUCAGGGCGUCUGGGGCGCUCAGAGAGCCUGCGGGUGAGUGACCGCCGCCGGCCUUCCCGGGGCAGCCUCGGGGCUAAGGGCCGGGGUGGGGGCCGCUCCCGGAGCGACGUGGACAUGGACCCCAGUUCCGCCACGGCAGUGCUUGGCCCUGCCCGACGAGCCACCCCUGAGCCUGGAGAUGAGGGGGAGCCGGGGCGGUCAGGACUGGAGCUUGAACCAGAAGAGCCUCCCGGCUGGCGGGAACUUGUCCCACCAGACACCCUGCAUAGCCUGCCCAAGAGCCAGGUGAAGCGGCAGGAGGUCAUCAGUGAGCUGCUGGUGACAGAAGCGGCCCACGUGCGCAUGCUGCGGGUGCUGCACGACCUCUUCUUCCAGCCCAUGGCGGAUGGCCUCUUCUUCUCCCUGGAGGAGCUGCAGAACAUCUUCCCCAGCCUGGACGAGCUCAUCGAGGUGCAUUCCCUGUUCCUCGAUCGCCUGAUGAAGCGGAGGCAGGAGAGUGGCUACCUCAUCGAGGAGAUCGGAGACGUGCUGCUGGCCCGGUUUGAUGGUGCUGAGGGCUCCUGGUUCCAGAAAAUCUCCUCCCGCUUCUGCAGCCGCCAGUCGUUUGCCUUAGAGCAGCUCAAAGCCAAGCAACGCAAGGAGCCUCGGUUCUGUGCCUUCGUGCAGGAAGCUGAGAGCCGCCCACGGUGCCGCCGUCUGCAGCUGAAGGACAUGAUUCCCACGGAGAUGCAGCGGCUGACCAAGUACCCCCUGCUUCUGCAGAGCAUCGGGCAGAACACAGAAGAGCCCACAGAACGGGAGAAAGUGGAGCUGGCAGCCGAGUGCUGCCGGGAAAUUCUGCACCACGUCAACCAAGCCGUGCGUGACAUGGAGGACCUGCUGAGGCUCAAGGACUAUCAGCGGCGCCUGGACUUGUCCCACCUUCGGCAGAGCAGCGACCCCAUGCUAAGCGAGUUCAAGAACCUGGACAUCACCAAGAAGAAAUUGGUCCACGAGGGCCCACUGACGUGGCGGGUGACAAAGGACAAGGCUGUGGAGGUGCAUGUGCUGCUGCUGGAUGACCUGCUGCUGCUGCUCCAGCGCCAGGAUGAGCGGCUGCUGCUCAAGUCCCAUAGCCGGACGCUGACGCCCACGCCUGACGGCAAGACCAUGCUGCGGCCUGUGCUGCGGCUCACCUCUGCCAUGACCCGCGAGGUGGCCACCGAUCACAAAGCCUUCUACGUCCUUUUUACCUGGGACCAGGAGGCCCAGAUAUACGAGCUGGUGGCACAGACUGUGUCGGAGCGGAAGAACUGGUGUGCCCUCAUCACCGAGACUGCCGGAUCCCUGAAAGUCCCUGCCCCUGCCUCUCGCCCUAAGCCCCGGCCCAGCCCGAGCAGGGCCAGGAGUGUGGGGUCACCCAGCACUUCCUCCCCUCAGCACCCGAGAACCCCUCCUCAGCAGCUCUGAGAACGGCAAUGGUGGCCGAGAGACGUCUCCGGCUGAUGCCCGGACCGAGAGAAUCCUCAGUGACCUCCUGCCCUUCUGCAGACCAGGCCCCGAGGGCCAGCUCGCUGCCACGGCCCUUCGGAAAGUGCUGUCCCUGAAGCAGCUUCUGUUUCCGGCGGAGGAAGACAAUGGGGCGGGGCCUCCUCGAGAUGGGGAUGGGGUCCCAGGGGGCGGCCCCCUGAGCCCAGCACGGACCCAGGAAAUCCAGGAGAACCUGCUCAGCUUGGAGGAGACCAUGAAGCAGCUGGAGGAGCUGGAGGAGGAAUUUUGCCGCCUGCGACCCCUCCUGUCUCAGCUUGGGGGGAACUCUGUCUCCCAGCCUGGCUGCACUUGAGGUCCCUGUCCAGGAAGGCCUUUUGCAAGAAGGAGAGGAAUGGGGGAGAGGACGUGAGGGACCACCCCCACCCACACAGCUGCCGCAGCAUCUCACACCCUGAGGGCCUGAGGAGAGGGAGCUGUGGGCCACGCCUGGGAGGGGCCCAGCUGGGGUCACUGGCCCUGCAUGAGCCUCGGCCAUCUCUCCCUCCUGCCCUCUGCUUGGGGGACUCAGGGCUUCAUUCCGGAGGGCACCAUGGUGACCCGGGCCAUCUCAGUAUUGCCUGUGGGGGCCACCCCUCCACUCCCCACCCCCAAGUGCCUUCGCUCUGUUUUUAUACCCUGAAUUGGAGGUUUAUUUUUUAAUAUAUAUUAUCUAAGAA